rnacentral:rRNA from 1 species
UACGUAGGCAGCGAGCGUUGUUCGGAGUUACUGGGCGUAAAGGGUGUGUAGGCGGUUUGGUAAGUCUGGUGUGAAAUCUCCCGGCUCAACUGGGAGGGUGCGCCGGAAACUGCCGGACUAGAGUGCGGGAGAGGAGAGUGGAAUUCCUGGUGUAGCGGUGAAAUGCGUAGAUAUCAGGAGGAACACCUGCGGUGUAGACGGCUAUCUGGACGGCCACUGACGCUGAGACACGAAAGCGUGGGUAGCAAACAGG